UCUAUCAGGUCCGGUUGUAAACAAUUAUCAAUGAUUACGUCGGGUUCCCUGGCUUAUAAAUACGCCAAGUCUUGUAUGCAUUGUCAGUGUUAUCCACACAAAGCUCCACAAUAGUCGAAGAUGAACAACAAACUUGUACUGACGAUUCUGCUGGUGACUGUAGGUCUGAUGUGCCUAGGCAUCGCCCCGGUAACCGGUCAAGGGAGAGGAUGCAGUUGUCGUCGAAGUUGUUAUCCGGGUGAACGAAACACUUAUCGGAGGUGCAGUAUACCUGGAUCAUAUGGCUGGGGCUCCCGGGGCACCGAGUGUUGUCGAGGUGGCUUUUUUUACGGCCGUUAGGAAAACCUAGAUUGCGAUUCGUACUGAAAGGAUCAGAUUAAAACAAGCAACGUCAGCGUAAAUCUCGAGAUGUGUGUUACCAGCAG